UACAGAGGUCCCAAGCGUUGUUCGGAUUCACUGGGCGUAAAGGGCGCGUAGGCGGUCGUGACAAGUCACUUGUGAAAUCUCCGGGCUUAACUCGGAACGGUCAAGUGAUACUGUCGGACUAGAGUACAGAAGGGGCAACUGGAAUUCUCGGUGUAGCGGUUGAAAUGCGUAGAUAUCGAGAGGGAACACCUGCGGCGAAGGCGGGUUGCUGGGCUGACACUGACGCUGAGGCGCGGAAAGCCAGGGGAGCAAACGGG
rnacentral:rRNA from 1 species